rnacentral:rRNA from 1 species
GUAACACUGAAUGGAGGACCGAACCGACUUACGUUGAAAAGUGAGCGGAUGAACUGAGGGUAGCGGAGAAAUUCCAAUCGAACCUGGAGAUAGCUGGUUCUCUCCGAAAUAGCUUUAGGGCUAGCCUCAAGUGAUGAUUAUUGGAGGUAGAGCACUGUUUGGACGAGGGGCCCCUCUCGGGUUACCGAAUUCAGACAAACUCCGAAUGCCAAUUAAUUUAACUUGGGAGUCAGAACAUGGGUGAUAAGGUCCGUGUUCGAAAGGGAAACAGCCCAGACCACCAGCUAAGGUCCCAAAAUAUAUGUUAAGUGGAAAAGGAUGUGGCGUUGCCCAGACAACUAGGAUGUUGGCUUAGAAGCAGCCAUCAUUUAAAGAGUGCGUAAUAGCUCACUAGUCGAGUGACACUGCGCCGAAAAUGUACCGGGGCUAAACAUAUUACCGAAGCUGUGGAUUGUCCUUUGGACAAUGGUAGGAGAGCGUUCUAAGGGCGUUGAAGCAUGAUCGUAAGGACAUGUGGAGCGCUUAGAAGUGAGAAUGCCGGUGUGAGUAGCGAAAGACGGGUGAGAAUCCCGUCCACCGAUUGACUAAGGUUUCCAGAGGAAGGCUCGUCCGCUCUGGGUUAGUCGGGUCCUAAGCUGAGGCCGACAGGCGUAGGCGAUGGAUAACAGGUUGAUAUUCCUGUACCACCUAUAAUCGUUUUAAUCGAUGGGGGGACGCAGUAGGAUAGGCGAAGCGUGCGAUUGGAUUGCACGUCUAAGCAGUAAGGCUGAGUAUUAGGCAAAUCCGGUACUCGUUAAGGCUGA